rnacentral:rRNA from 1 species
GCACGGACUUCGGUCUGGUGGCGAGUGGCGAACGGGUGAGUAAUGUAUCGGAACGUGCCCAGUAGUGGGGGAUAACUACUCGAAAGAGUGGCUAAUACCGCAUGAGAUCUCUGGAUGAAAGCGGGGGACCGUAAGGCCUCGCGCUACUGGAGCGGCCGAUAUCAGAUUAGGUAGUUGGUAGGGUGAGAGCCUACCAAGCCAACGAUCUGUAGCUGGUCUGAGAGGACGACCAGCCACACUGGGACCGAGACACGGCCCAGACCCCUACGGGAGGCAGCAGUGGGGAAUUUUGGACAAUGGACGCAAGUCUGAUCCAGCAAUACCGCGUGCAGGACGAAGGCCUUCGGGUUGUAAACUGCUUUUGUACGGAACGAAAAGCCUUCUUCUAAUACAGGGAGGUCAUGACGGUACCGUAAGAAUAAGCACCGGCUAACUACGUGCCAGCAGCCGCGGUAAUACGUAGGGUGCAAGCGUUAAUCGGAAUUACUGGGCGUAAAGCGUGCGCAGGCGGUUGUGUAAGACAGGUGUGAAAUCCCCGAGCUCAACUUGGGAAUUGCACUUGUGACUGCACAGCUAGAGUACGGCAGAGGGGGAUGGAAUUCCGCGUGUAGCAGUGAAAUGCGUAGAUAUGCGGAGGAACACCGAUGGCGAAGGCAAUCCCCUGGGCCUGUACUGACGCUCAUGCACGAAAGCGUGGGGAGCAAACAGGAUUAGAUACCCUGGUAGUCCACGCCCUAAACGAUGUCAACUGGUUGUUGGGAAUUAACUUUCUCAGUAACGAAGCUAACGCGUGAAGUUGACCGCCUGGGGAGUACGGCCGCAAGGUUGAAACUCA